AUGGGGGACUUUGAUGGUGAGCAAAAAGAAUUGAUCAAGAAAUUGGUAAACAUUCGCAUGAUCGAUGAUAAUAUAAAGCCAAUAUGCGAAGAGGUCAAAGUAGGAGUCGCAGGGGAAUUUCACAUAAGAGAAGGGAGAAUCUUCAUGGACUGGCUUCCACCAAUCGGAGUAUCGCGCAUUUCAGAUGGUGGUAAAGUGAUACCACAUAAGGAGCUCUUCCUCAUUCAGUCAUACUCAACAAAAAGCAUACUCGGUAGAAAGGAGGUGGCAGAGCUGGGAAGAGGAUUAGACUUUAUUGAUUAUUUGGACUUAGAGACCAAUUAUAGAAAGAAGACAGUAGCUGAGAAAAAUCCUAAUGUUGGUAAAAUAUACGUGUUGAUCAAGGACAAUGAAGAAGCCAUGAAAAGAUUGAAGAACGAGGUAGAAGAUACUGAGUUGUUCAGAUGUUUACAGGAAAUCCAUGGGAAAAACUACCACAGCUUUGUAUUAAGCAAGCAGGUUCCAGUCGUUGGUAAUUUCAGGGAAGCCUACAUUGGCAUUGCUCCUGAGUUAGCCAAAGAGAUCGCGGAAGAAGUGGAUGUUAUCGUAAACUCUGCAGCAAAUACCACUUUUGAUGAGAGCAAGAAAAGUAUAGCAACUUGCAGGUAUGAUGUAGCACUAGACAUCAACACCGUGGGGCCAUUCCGGAUAAUGAGUUUCGCGCAACGGUUUCGAAGACUGAAGCUCUUAUUGCAAGUAUCAACAGGUCAGAAUGCCAAAUAA
rnacentral:rRNA from 1 species